rnacentral:rRNA from 1 species
GAUGAACGCUGGCGGCGUGCCUAAUACAUGCAAGUCGAGCGAAGGGACGAGAAGCUUGCUUCUCGGAUGUUAGCGGCGGACGGGUGAGUAACACGUGGAUAACCUACCUAUAAGACUGGGAUAACUUCGGGAAACCGGAGCUAAUACCGGAUGAUAUUUUGAACCGCAUGGUUCAAAAGUGAAAGACGGUCUUGCUGUCACUUAUAGAUGGACCCGCGCUGCAUUAGCUAGUUGGUAAGGUAACGGCUUACCAAGGAAACGAUGCAUAGCCGACCUGAGAGGGUGAUCGCCCACGCUGGACCUGAGCCACGGUCCAGACUCCUACGGGAGGCAGCAGUAGGGAAUCUUCCGCAAUGGGCGAAAGCCUGACGGAGCAACGCGGCGUGAGUGAUGAAGGUCUUCGGAUCGUAAACCUCUGUUAUUAGGGAAGAACAUAUGUGUAAGUAACUGUGCACAUCUUGACGGUACCUAAUCAGAAAGCCACGGCUAACUCCGU